GAUCAUGGCUCAGGAUGAACGCUGGCGGCGUGCCUAAUACAUGCAAGUCGAACGAGGUGGAAGGGAGCUUGCUCCUGGAUGCCUAGUGGCGAACGGGUGAGUAACACGUAGGUAACCUGCCCUUAAGCUUGGGAUACCCAGAGGAAACUUUGGCUAAUACCGGAUAACAACAGAGGAGGCAUCUCCUUUGCUUGAAAGGCCCUUCACGGGGUCACUUAAGGAUGGACCUGCGGCGCAUUAGCUAGUUGGUGAGAUAACAGCCCACCAAGGCGAGGAUGCGUAGCCGACCUGAGAGGGUGAUCGGCCACAUUGGAACUGAGACACGGUCCAAACUCCUACGGGAGGCAGCAGUAAGGAGUUUUCGGCAAUGGGGGAAACCCUGACCGAGCAACGCCGCGUGAGUGAAUGACGGCCCUAUGGGUUGUAAAGCUCUGUUGUAAGGGACGAAUGAUUCGCUUAGGAAAUGAAGCGAGUUUGACGGUACCUUACCAGAAAGCCACGGCUAACUACGUGCCAGCAGCGGC
rnacentral:rRNA from 1 species